rnacentral:misc_RNA from 1 species
GAACGCACAUUGCACCCGGUGGUAUUCCGCCGGGUAUGCCUGUUCGAGCGUCAUUUCCACCCUCAGGCCCCCCUCCUCACGGGGGGACGGGCCUGGUGUUGGGGACCUACGGGCCCUUCUGGCGCCCGUAGCCUCCUAAAUCAAUCGGCGUGCGCGCUGUACGUUGCCCCCUGCGUAGUAGUGAUUUCUCGCAUCGGGCCGUAGCGCUGUCCAGCCGCUAAACUGCAACUACGCAUUUAGCUAGGUUUGACCUCGAAGCAGGUAGGGUUACCCGCUGAACUUA